UUUCGGUAUCCUGUGUUGCUUACCUUUAACGGAAUGCGUUAUCUCGUUGUCCCUUUCCUCCGUUGCUUCCCUUUUGGGUUGCAACGGGGACCUCGAAGCAUUCCCUGUGUCCCUAUGUAGUCCUCGGCAUUUUGUCGCGGCUGCUAUGGUCCACGGGUGCUUUGCUUGUUCUCUCGGAUGCGGAACACUACGUGAGAGUGGGAGUCCAUGACCCUCGAUCGCUCAAAAUUGUCCCUUUGACACGGAAGACGUUCGCAACUGUGCCAACCUUUGCCCCCGGGCUUUUAGGCGUGCGCACAGCUUGCGAUGUCUCGAAGGAAUGCUACCUGGUUGAUCCUGCCAGUAGUCAUAUGCU
rnacentral:misc_RNA from 1 species